GAGGAGGGAGCCUGCCAGAAAGGUCAUCGGCAAAGAACCCCAGUGCAGUGGAACUCAUCAGCCAAAACUGUAAGUAAGGGGGGAAAAAAACCCACCUCUUCUAAAGACUUUUAGCGAGCAUUCAACUUGCUGUUACUAGAUAAGGACUACGGCAUUUUCUGUGCUGGGAACCCGAAGUUGUCACAUAGGCCCAUUAUGUCUUAAAUGCUGCCUGUGGCCCUGGAACAAUGAGCUUGAGGCCCAGGAGCUAAAGCAGUAGGCAGCCCGCCAAGUUCAACACUGGCCAGUCUGAAGAGCAGGGCCUGCUGGGGGCUGCUUCCGGCUCUGCCUGAGAUGCAGAGCAAAGAUUUCCAUGCUGGCUUUCCGCAUGCACGUUCGACGAUGGAGGCCCAGACCAGCGAUGACCUGUAGUGACAUUUUCCAUGACACCCUUUGUUUUGUUUUCUGCUUGAUAGUGUAACUUCGGGGGUUUCUUUUUUUGUAACAAUCGCUUGGCAAGGAUUACCGUUAGAUGUCACGGGGGAGUCACCAUACACAGCUGGAUUCUCCCCCUGGGCGGACAUCUCUUUUUCAAAUGGAGCUUCGUGGGAAUUAACUGGAUUAUUUGUGGAGGGACCCUUGGCUGCACAGCUGCUGGUCAGGUCAGUGCCUCGCUUGUGGAAAUAAAAGAAGCUGCAGUGGAACCUUAUGAUGAGGUGCACAGGAAUUUAAAAAAUUGAAU
rnacentral:lncRNA from 1 species